rnacentral:rRNA from 1 species
UACUCAGCAGUAAUUAACAUUAAGCAAUAAGUGAAAACUUGACUUAGUUAUAGCGACCCCACAGGGCCGGUAAAUCUUGUGCCAGCCACCGCGGUCAUACAAGAGGCCCAAACUAACAGUAAUCGGCGUAAAGCGUGGUAAUAUGUUAUCCAACUAAACUAAGACCAAAAUACAACUAAGCCGUCAUAAGCUCAAGAUGCCCCUAAAACCUUCAUAAAUAUGAUCUUAGCACCCACGACCAAUUUCAACCCACGAAAGCUAAGGCACAAACUGGGAUUAGAUACCCCACUAUGCUUGGCCCUAAAUCUAGAUACUUACCCUACACAAGUAUCCGCCUGAGAACUACGAGCACAAACGCUUAAAA